AGUGAUCCUCCUGCCUCAGCCUCCCAAAGUGUUGGGAUUACAGAUCUAGUGGUAUCUACAAAUAAUCUUCAGGAAGCAAGAUGGCCAAAUAGCACCCUCCAGCAAUUGUCCCCACUGUAGGAACACCAAAUUUGAACAACUAUCCACAAAAGAAAGCAUCUAUAAGACCCCAAAAUCAGGGAGAAGAACAUAAUAUAGCGCUCAUCGUUUCAUUUCUCUACCCACGAUCUUGCAAUGUUUUUCCUCUGCCAACAAGGAAAGAAAAUGGAGCUAUUCCUUUACUGAGCACCUACUAUGUGUCUGAUAGGUGCUUUCCCUUUGUUCUGAAUA